rnacentral:rRNA from 1 species
CACAUGCAAGUCGAGGGGAAACGACGGGGAAGCUUGCUUCCCCGGGCGUCGACCGGCGCACGGGUGAGUAACGCGUAUCCAACCUGCCUCUGACUGAGGGAUAACCCGUCGAAAGUCGGCCUAAUACCUCAUGGCAUCGUCUGCGGGCAUCCAACGACGAUUAAAGAUUUCAUCGGUCAGGGAUGGGGAUGCGUCUGAUUAGCUUGUUGGCGGGGUAACGGCCCACCAAGGCUACGAUCAGUAGGGGUCCUGAGAGGAAGGUCCCCCACAUUGGAACUGAGACACGGUCCAAACUCCUACGGGAGGCAGCAGUGAGGAAUAUUGGUCAAUGGGCGAGAGCCUGAACCAGCCAAGUAGCGUGCAGGAUGACGGCCCUAUGGGUUGUAAACUGCUUUUAUGCGGGGAUAAAGUGAGGGACGUGUCCUUCAUUGCAGGUACCGCAUGAAUAAGGACCGGCUAAUUCCGUGCCAGCAGCCGCGGUAAUACGGAAGGUCCGGGCGUUAUCCGGAUUUAUUGGGUUUAAAGGGAGCGUAGGCCGUGGAUUAAGCGUGUUGUGAAAUGCAGGUGCUCAACGUCUGCACUGCAGCGCGAACUGGUCCACUUGAGUGUGCACAACGCAGGCGGAAUUCGUCGUGUAGCGGUGAAAUGCUUAGAUAUGACGAAGAACUCCGAUUGCGAAGGCAGCUUGCGGGAGCACAACUGACGCUGAAGCUCGAAAGUGCGGGUAUCGAACAGGAUUAGAUACCCUGGUAGUCCGCACGGUAAACGAUGGAUGCCCGUUGUCAGGCUGUUUC